UGGGGAAUCUUGGACAAUGGGGGCAACCCUGAUCCAGCCAUGCCGCGUGAGUGAUGAAGGCCUUAGGGUCGUAAAGCUCUUUCGCCUGUGAAGAUAAUGACGGUAGCAGGUAAAGAAACCCCGGCUAACUCCGUGCCAGCAGCCGCGGUAAUACGGAGGGGACUAGCGUUGUUCGGAAUUACUGGGCGUAAAGAGUUCGUAGGCGGACUAGCAAGUUAGAGGUGAAAUCCCAGGGCUCAACCUUGGAACUGCCUUUAAAACUGCUAGUCUAGAGACCGGAAGAGGUUAGGGGAAUACCUAGUGUAGAGGUGAAAUUCGUAGAUAUUGGGAAGAACACCAGUGGCGAAGGCGGCUACCUGGACCGAUACUGACGCUGAGGCGCGAAAGCGUGGGGAGCAAACAGGAUUAGAAUACCCUGGUAGUCCACGCCGUAAACGAUGUCUGCUAGUCGUUGGGGAGCAUAGCUCUUCGGUGACGCAGCUAACGCAUUAAGCAGACCGCCUGGGGAGUACGGCCGCAAGGUUAAAACUCAAAUGAAUUGACGG
rnacentral:rRNA from 1 species